GACGAACGCUGGCGGCGUGCUUAACACAUGCAAGUCGAACGGAAAGGCCCUGCUUUUGUUGGGUUCUCGAGUGGCGAACGGGUGAGUAACACGUGAGUAACCUGCCCCUGACUUUGGGAUAACUUUAGGAAACUGGGGCUAAUAUCGGAUAGGAGCUCCUGCUGCAUGGUGGGGGUUGGAAAGUUUCGGCGGUUGGGGAUGGACUCGCGGCUUAUCAGCUUGUUGGUGGGGUAGUGGCUUACCAAGGCUUUGACGGGUAGCCGGCAUGAGAGGGUGACCGGCCACAUUGGGACUGAGGUACGGCGCAGACUCCUACGGGAGGCAGCAGUGGGGAAUAUUGCACAAUGGGAGGAAGCCUGAUGCAACGACGCCGCGUGCGGGAUGACGGGCUUCGGGUUGUAAACCGCUUUCGCCUGUGACGAAGCGUGAGUGACGGUAAUGGGUAAAGAAGCACCGGCUAACUACGUG
rnacentral:rRNA from 1 species